AGCCAAUAUGUCAGGGUUUUAAGAUUCUUCUCCACCCACUGCAUGUUCAGCUGAAUGACUUCCAAAGCCUGCUGGACACAGCGAAGUCGAAAGGUGGCCUCUGACUGGUUUUCAAAGAAUGCCUGGACCUGUGAGUUGAUCCAGCAACGAUACUUUGUAUGGUAUAGGACCCCAGAUGGAACCUGAAGAAACACAAAGCAAAGUGUGACUCUUCUGAACCAAUACAACCCUGGGAACUGCUUUCAGAUGCAAGGCUUGCAGAUACUGAAAAUCAGUAACUGUCUGAGAAACUUACUUCUGUACAAGCUUACUCCAGUUCUCUUUGACAAAAUC